ensembl:lncRNA
CCACAGCGACCCACAGCAACCCAUAGGGACCCAUAGCAACUUACUGACACCCAUAGGGACCCACUGAGACCCAUAGGGACCCAUAGGGACCCACAGCGACCCACAGCGACCCACAGGGACACGUAGGGACACGUAGGGACGCAUAGGGACGCAUAGGGACGCAUAGGGACGCAUAGGGACGCAUAGGGACGCAUAGGGACCCGUAGAGACCCAUAGAGACCCAUAGAGACCCAUAGAGACCCAUAGGGACCCAUAGGGACCCAUAGGGACACAUGGAGACCCAUAGGGAUGCAUACAGACCCAUAGGGACACAUAGGGACACAUAGGGACACAUAGGGACCCACUGAAACCCAUAGAGACCCAUGCAGACCCAUAGAGACCCACUGCUAUGGGGCAGGAGUGGGCGCUAUGGGGCAGGAGUGGUCCGCUAUGGGGCAGGAGAAGGUUUCUAUGGGGCAGGAAUGGCCGCUAUGGGACAGGAAUGGCCUGCUAUGGGGCACGAACUGCUAUGGGGCAGGAAUGGCCCACUAUGGGGCAGGAGAAGGUGCUAUGGGGCAAGAAUGGUCUGCUAUGGGGCAAGAGAAGGUUUCUAUGGGGCAGGAAUGGGCGCUAUGGGGCAGGAACGGCCCGCUAUGGGGCAGGAAUGGGCGCUAUGGGGCAGGAAUGGCCCGCUAUGGGGCAGGAACGGGCCGCUAUGGGGCAGGAACGGCCCCCUAUGGGGCAGGAACGGGCGCUAUGGGGCAGACCCACCUUCUGGUAGCGCUUCGUCAGCCAUUUGUCCCAGUGGGAAAACAUCUCCAGCCACUUCAGCUCCCGCUGCCGCGCCACGUCCACCGGCACCGAGCUCUCCCUGUGGGGCACAGCCCCAUAAGUGUGGGGCACAACCCCAUAAGUGUGGGGUGCACAGCCCCAUAAGUGUGGGGCACAACCCCAUAAGUGGGGAUGCACAGCCCCAUAAGAGUGGGGCACAACCCCAUAAGUGUGGGGUGAGCCCCUGAAAUGUAGGGAACACAGCCCCAUAAGUGUGGGGGGCACAGCCCCAUAAGUGGGGGGCAGCCCCAUAAGUGUGGGAGGUACAGCCCCAUAAGUGUGGGGCACAACCCCAUAAAUGUGGGGUGAGCCCCUGAAAUGUACGGAGCACAGCCCCAUAAGUGUGGGGAGCACAACCCCAUAAGUGUGGGGGGCAGGAAGGGGAUUGCCUAUCCUAUAGGGCGCUAUGGGGCAGGAGAAACAUCCCCGUUGUGGGGUGCCAAGGGGCAAGAACACUCACGCUAUGGGGCGCUAUGGGGCACUAUGGGGCUCUAUGGGGCGGCAUGGGGUUCUAUGGGGUCGCUAUGGGGCACCAUGGGGCUCUGUGGGAUGCUAUGGGGCGCUAUGGGGCUCUACGGGGCUCUAUUGAACUCUAUGGGGUGCUAUGGGGCACCAUGGGGCUCUAUGGGGUGCUAUGGGGCUCUAUGGGGCGCUAUGGGGCACCAUGGGGCUCUUUGGGGCGCUAUGGGGCUCUAUGGGAUGCUAAGGGGCUCUAUGGGAUGCUGUGGGGCUCUAUGGGGCACCAUGGGGCUCUGUGGGCUGCUAUGGGGCACCAUGGGGGCGCUAUGGGGCACCAUGGAGCUCUAUGGGGUGCUAUGGGGUGCUAUGGGGCACCAUGGGGGUGUAUGGGGUUCUGUGGGCUACUAUGGGGCUCUAUAGGGCACCAUGGGACUCUAUGGGGCGCUAUGGGGCACCAUGGGGUCUGUGGGCUGCUAUGGGGCUCUAUGGGCUGCUAAGGGGCUCUAUGGGGCGCUAUGGGGCACCAUGGGGCUCUAUGGGGCACCAUGGGGCUUUAUGGGG